rnacentral:rRNA from 1 species
CCUACGGGUGACAGCAGUGAGGAAUAUUGGUCAAUGGACGAGAGUCUGAACCAGCCAUGCAGCGUGAAGGAAGACGGCUCUAUGAGUUGUAAACUUCUUUUGUACGGGGAUAAACGCAGCUACGCGUGUGUGUCUGAAAGUAUCGUACGAAUAAGGAUCGGCUAACUCCGUGCCAGCAGCCGCGGUAAUACGGAGGAUUCGAGCGUUAUCCGGAUUUAUUGGGUUUAAAGGGUGCGUAGGCGGGUGGAUAAGUUAGAUGUGAAAGCCCGUGGCUCAACUGUGGAAUUGCCUCUGAUACUGGUCGGCUAGAGAGCAGUUGCGGUAGGCGGAAUGUAUGGUGUAGCGGUGAAAUGCUUAGAGAUCAUACAGAACACCGAUUGCGAAGGCAGCUUACUAAGCUACGUCUGACGUUGAGGCACGAAAGCGUGGGGAGCAAACAGGAUUAGAUACCCCGGUAGUC